CAUAAAGCAAAUCCAUCCUUGUUCUCAGCAAGCAAUCAACUCCAGUCGACCUUUCUCCCAGUACGUCUGAUAGGAGCUACCACAGCUUUCAAGUCCUUUGGCCAUUAAAUUAGUACCCAUGCUGAAUGGUUACUUGUUUUUAUUACUCUCAGUUGGUGGCUGGUGGGACCAUCCAUACACCUGCCUCGCCCAAAACUCACGCAAGUGUAAGCAUGACAUGGUGGGACACGUUGCACUGUGAUGGCAAAGUUUGACUAGAUGUUUCAGAAGGUCCACCUAUGUCCUAAAUUCCUAUAAAGAGUGUUCAAUUGCAUUCCCUGGCUGAUGAGUAUGUUGACAGCAGGGAAGAGACAGGUUGCUACCUGCUGCGGUCUGGUCUCUACUAGCUCCCAUGCUUCUGGACACUGAAGAUAUGGAGGGGAAACCUCCAGCAGAUGACAACAGCAGAUGUCUUGCACAGAGGGGGAAUGUGUAGUGUCAGAUGAGUAAAAGUGAGGGAUCCAUCACAAGCAGCACAAUGCUUCUGACUGAGAUAACUCAAAAUGGAGAUAAACAGCUGAAUUACUAAGUCCGUGCAGAAAAUGAGAGUACUUUGGAGGAGGCAAUGCCAAGAGCAUGUUUGGUUCUGAAGCUAUUUUGCAAUGGGUGCAUCCAAGGCUGGUUUCAUACCAGAAGUCCAAGUAAUACUAUUUGGUAAGUGUUAACUCUGUGACCAGCGUACAUGAUCCAGCAGCAAGAAGAAAAACAAAGACAUGAUGGGGCUCUGCAGCCAUUUAAGCAUGACUUUGGUAAACAAAGCUGGUUUAAUACUCGCAGGAGCCUCAGGCAGGGGCUAAGGCACUGGCUCCUCCCUCCACCCACCUGCACACUGGAUGACUUGUACAAAACUUAGCCCAGUGGGAGCCCCAGCAUUUAACCUGGUCCCCCUGCAUUUAUCACCCACCACCCUCCUUCCACAAGACCAAACCAACAUGCUUGGCUGUGCUUGUAAAGACAGCUGGACCAUCAACUGGGGUGAACUGAAAAUUAGGAAUCAGACAGGCAUCCCAAGAUCUGUAACUUGUUAAAAUCCCAGGGAACAUUUUCCAGCAAGCUGGUAGAGUGUGGCCUUGCCAACACGGGCACCUGGGUGUGGGAAGAAUGUUGGCAGGGCAAUGAACUCAUUAAGGUGGAGCUCUGUCACCACCUCCUGAAGGAAUCUGAGAUGAGCCCAUCACACCGCUGUACCCUUGUGCAACUGAGUGUAGGAAGGAUCAGUCACUGGAGCUCGGCGCUGCCCUGCUCUACACGCUGAAGUCAACGCCACCAGGAGAAAUAAGAGCCCUUUCCAUGAAAAUAAGGCUUUGAUGUGAGGCCAGCUAGGCUCCAAAUCAGCCAGUGAGAAGAGGGAUGGAUUCGUGUUGGAAAACUUCUUGGAAGAGGGUCGGCCACAAAAUGCAAAGCUAAGGGACUUGUCUGGUUCAGUAGCACUGCAGAUGGUUUCCAGUACUUAAACCCCAAUGAAAACACAAGUGCAGAGAAAGGUUCAACUGAGGAGCAGGUCCAAGGACAGAUCCUGCAUGGAAGAAGCUCCCAAUAGCCCUGAUGUUUAGAGCACUGGGUGUUAACAGAGUGAUG
rnacentral:lncRNA from 1 species